UAAAUAUAACCAUGAGACCGAUAGUAAACAAGUACCGUGAGGGAAAGUUGAAAAGAACUCUGAAUAGAGAGUUAAAUAGUACGUGAAACUGCUUAGAGGUUAAGCCCGAUGAACCUGAAUAUCCAAUAUAGAAAAUUCAUCAUUAUGAUUUUAAUAUUAUUAAUAUUAUAAUAAUAGUGUGCAUUUUUUCUAUAAAGGACAUUGUAAUCUAUUAAUAUAAAUAAUAUUUAUCAUAAGAUCAAUUGCAUAAGUUUAUUUAAAUUAUUUUGCUUGCAAAUUAACAUAGAAUAAAUGCUUUUGAUUUGAUAAAGUGUUGAUAGAUUUAUUAUAUAUAGUGCUUGAAUAUUUUUUUAUAUUCUAUAAUAUCAUAUUAAUUAUAAAUUUUUAUGUUUAUUAUAUGCACUUAUAUGAUUAACAAUGCGAAAGAUUCAGGAUACCUUCGGGACCCGUCUU
rnacentral:rRNA from 2 species